UUGAUCUUCGCGUAGCUUCUAUGGCGGCGUCGAUUCCGUCAUCGGGAGACUCUUGGCGGAUCCUCGGGCAACACUCUUUUAUAUAACCGUACCGAGUACUCGUUUCUUAGUCAACGUUCGGCAUUCGAAACGAGACGAUCGAUGAAACCGAUCAACAUGUAUACACUACAAGGAUUAGCCAUUUUGGUAGUCUGCCUUGCAAGCAGCAUGGCAGGGCCAACUGAAAACAGGGCUGUUCAGACUAUCACCGAUGGAAACAAUCGAUUCUCAUCGUUAUUUUUCCGAGAAGUCGGAAAGGGAAACAGUGGCAAUCUGAUCACGUCUCCUCUUAGCGCCUCGAUUGCUCUUUCCAUGGCUGCUUAUGGCUCGCGCGGAGAUACUGAGAAAGAAUUCAAACAAGUACUUCACCUUCCAGAGGAGUCCGUAGCCAGAAGUGGAUAUUCAAAUCUCAUCGGUACCCUUAAUAACGUCAAAGACGUAGAACUUCGUCUCGCCAACAAAAUAUUCAUUAACAAGCAAUUCACGGUAAAACCGAGCUUCCAAGAAUUGACUCAAUCUGCCUUUUUAUCGACAUCGGAAAAUUUGGACUUUUCUCAAAAUCUCCAAGCUGCCGGUACCAUCAAUCAGUGGGUCGAGGAACAAACCAAUAAACGCAUCAAAGAUCUUAUUAAACCAGAUAAAAUAAAUGGUGCUACCGCCAUGGUGCUCGUCAAUGCUGUAUACUUCAAGGGCAAUUGGAAAACCAAAUUUGAUCCCAAAUUUACUAAAAACGAACCUUUCCACGUCACCAAGAACGAAGUUAUAAACGUACCCACCAUGUACAUGUCUGGAAAGUUUAAAUACGCUGAACUUACCGAAUUGAACGCAAAGUUACUCGAGCUUCCAUACAAAGGCGAAGAAUUCAGCAUGGUCAUCAUCAUGCCAAACGAUAUCGACGGAUUGCCUCAACUCGAAGAGAAAUUGCCCCAACAUGAUAUCGGCGAACUUCUCAAGAAGGCAUAUAAAACCGAGGUUAUGCUGCAUCUGCCUAAAUUCAAGAUCGAAAGCACUCUCAAUCUCAAUGGACACCUUCAAAACUUGGGAAUAAAGGAGGCCUUUAGCCAAAGUGCUAACUUCAAAGGUAUUUCUGACGUUGAGCUCAAAAUCUCCGACGUCGUACAAAAGGCUUUUAUCGAAGUUAACGAGGAAGGUAGCGAAGCUGCGGGAGCAAGUGGUAUCAGUAUCAGGCCUCUUUCGAGCUCCUGGUCUCCACCGCAGCCGGUUCAAUUCAAUGUCGAUCGACCGUUUCUGGCGAUCAUUAAAUACGGAGAUCUCGUCCUGUUCCAGGCGAAAAUCAACUCGUAAUCGUGACCUCCGUUUUGACGCAACAAAUUUAGCACGCGGCUUUCUCCGUUUUUCUUUUUUUUCUCCCCGUUUUUAGAUAACAUCUACCGGACAUGUGAUACACGCAUUUAUGUUAAUAUCGGCAUUAAAUCAGGACGUCCUAGACCUAAACCAUUGAUGAAAGCUGACAGACCAUUCUUAGCUACGAUAACGUACAAAGGCAUACAACUGUUCGCUGCUCACAUUACGGAUCCGAGUGUUCAUUAAAAAUAACUAGAAUAAAUGAUAGAGCUAUUCUCGACGUAUAACCGAUAAUAAAUAAAUCAUUUAAUAUUCGAA